GGCUUCCGGGGCGUCACUCCCAACCCAAUGUGAACGUUACCAAUCUGUUGCCUCGGCGGGAUUCUCUGCCCCGGGCGCGUCGCAGCCCCGGAUCCCAUGGCGCCCGCCGGAGGACCAACUCAAACUCUUUUUUCUCUCCGUCGCGGCCUACGUCGCGGCUCUGUUUUAUUUUUGCUCUGAGCCUUUCUCGGCGACCCUAGCGGGCGUCUCGAAAAUGAAUCAAAACUUUCAACAACGGAUCUCUUGGUUCUGGCAUCGAUGAAGAACGCAGCGAAAUGCGAUAAGUAAUGUGAAUUGCAGAAUUCAGUGAAUCAUCGAAUCUUUGAACGCACAUUGCGCCCGCCAGUAUUCUGGCGGGCAUGCCUGUCCGAGCGUCAUUUCAACCCUCGAACCCCUCCGGGGGGUCGGCGUUGGGGAUCGGCCCCUCACCGGGCCGCCCCCGAAAUACAGUGGCGGUCUCGCCGCAGCCUCUCCUGCGCAGUAGUUUGCACACUCGCACCGGGAGCGCGGCGCGGCCACAGCCGUAAAACACCCCAAACUCUGAAAUGUUGACCUCGGAUCAGGUAGGAAUACCCGCUGAACUUAAGCAUAUCAAAA
rnacentral:rRNA from 1 species